rnacentral:rRNA from 1 species
CCUUCGGGCGUCAGCGGCAGACGGGUGAGUAACACGUGGGAACGUACCCUUCGGUUCGGAAUAAGCCAGGGAAACUUGGUCUAAUACCGGAUACGCCCUUACGGGGAAAGAUUUAUUGCCGAAGGAUCGGCCCGCGUCUGAUUAGCUAGUUGGUGAGGUAACGGCUCACCAAGGCGACGAUCAGUAGCUGGUCUGAGAGGAUGAUCAGCCACACUGGGACUGAGACACGGCCCAG